UACGUAGGGUGCGAGCGUUAAUCGGAAUUACUGGGCGUAAAGCGUGCGCAGGCGGUUUUGUAAGCCAGGUGUGAAAUCCCCGGGCUCAACCUGGGAAUGGCAUUUGGGACUGCAAGGCUGGAGUGCGGCAGGAGGAGACGUGGAAUUCCUGGUGUAGCAGUGAAAUGCGUAGAUAUCAGGAGGAACACCGAUGACGAAGGCAGGUCUCUGGGCUGACGACUGACGCUGCAUG
rnacentral:rRNA from 1 species